UACGUAGGGUGCGAGCGUUAAUCGGAAUUACUGGGCGUAAAGCGUGCGUAGGCGGUUCGUCAAGUCUGAUGUGAAAGCCCCGGGCUCAACCUGGGAACUGCAUUGGAAACUAGCGAGCUUGAGUGUGGCAGAGGGGGGUGGAAUUCCACGUGUAGCAGUGAAAUGCGUAGAGAUGUGGAGGAACACCGAUGGCGAAGGCAGCCCCCUGGGCUAACACUGACGCCCAGGCACGAAAGCGUGGGGAGCAAACAGG
rnacentral:rRNA from 1 species